rnacentral:rRNA from 1 species
CAGACUCCUACGGAAGACAGCAGUAGGAAAUAUUGUACAAUGGGCGCAAGCCUGAUCCAGCCAUGCCGCGUGAGUGAAGAAGGCCCUCGGGUUGUAAAGCUCUUUUGUCCGGAAAGAAAAGCAUUCGGUUAAUACCCGGGUGUUCUCACGGUACCGGAAGAAUAAGCACCGGCUAACUUCGUGCCAGCAGCCGCGGUAAUACGAAGGGUGCAAGCGUUACUCGGAAUUACUGGGCGUAAAGCGUGCGUAGGUGGUUUGUUAAGUCUGAUGUGAAAGCCCUGGGCUCAACCUGGGAAUGGCACUGGAUACUGGCAAGCUAGAGUGUGGCAAAGGGUAGUGGAAUUCCUGGUGUAGCAGUGAAAUGCGUAGAGAUCAGGAGGAACAUCCGUGGCGAAGGCGCCUGCCUGGGCCAACACUGACACUGAGGCACCAAAGCGUGGGCAGCAAACAGGAUU